rnacentral:rRNA from 1 species
UACGUAGGCAGCAAGCGUUGUUCGGAAUUACUGGGCGUAAAGCGCACGUAGGCGGCUUUGUAAGUUAGAGGUGAAAGCCCGGGGCUCAACUCCGGAAUUGCCUUUAAGACUGCAUCGCUAGAAUUGUGGAGAGGUAAGUGGAAUUCCGAGUGUAGAGGUGAAAUUCGUAGAUAUUCGGAAGAACACCAAUGGCGAAGGCGACUUACUGGACACAUAUUGACGCUGAGGUGCGAAAGCGUGGGGAGCAAACAGG